GUCAGAAUGAUUUUUCAGACAAUAUAAUCAAAUGACAUUGUAGCUGGAGUUAGGGGGAAGACAGGUCUAAUGCAUCACUUUUUAAAAGUGGUCAGACGAAUAGCGAGGUCAAGAAUGGAGUCAGAUGAGCUAAGAAGCAAUCCAAAAUUCAAGAUAUUACGCUUUGGAGCCUCAUCCUAAGAAAGCCAUGGAUUGGCUGUUAAAAUUACAAUUGACAUAUAAUAAAUAAAUUUAAAAAAAACACAUUUAAAAAAGAUUAAUAAGCUUAUUUAUUUUUACUUAAAAUUUUGUUUAAAAUGUAACUUUUCUCUGGCCAAUAUACUGAGUUGUCUCCGUUAUGGUGAAAGACAUCCUCACUACUAUGACUGCACCUAGAAUGCUUCUCAUUAGAUUUGUUCUCAUGCCUGUGAAAUUGAUACAGUAUCAGCAGCAAAAGUUUUUAAAGGGUUUGGUUUUCCUGACACUAUAGUACCCUGAGGGUGCCCCCACCCUCAGGGUCCUCCUCCCGCGGCGCUUAAGGGGUUAAAACCCCUUCAGCCACUCACCCUUUGUAGUUGUUCUGGUGUAUAUAGCCUGUCCCUGCAGGCUUUUCAGUGUAAUCACAGCAUUUUCUGCAAAAAGGCAUUGUUUACAUUGCUGCUUAGUAACACCUCAAGUGACAGUCACUCGGACGGCCACUAG